rnacentral:rRNA from 1 species
UACGUAGGGUGCGAGCGUUAAUCGGAAUUACUGGGCGUAAAGCGUGCGCAGGCGGUUUUGUAAGCCAGAUGUGAAAUCCCCGGGCUUAACCUGGGAAUGGCAUUUGGGACUGCAAGGCUUGAGUUUGGCAGAGGAGACUGGAAUUCCUGGUGUAGCAGUGAAAUGCGUAGAUAUCAGGAGGAACACCGGUGGCGAAGGCGGGUCUCUGGGCAGUAACUGACGCUGAGGAGCGAAAGCGUGGGGAGCGAACAGG